rnacentral:lncRNA from 1 species
AAAACCCUAGCCUCUCCUUCUUCUUGAACUCAUACAAGACCAACCCUAGCUACUUGAUCCUUUUCUCAACCUUGAACACAACACAAACCCUAGAACCCCUAAGACCAGCUCCACCGCCAGACCCCCUAGCCCCAUUUCGACACCCACUUCCAGCCACCGUCCGCCGGCCAGCCUUCCACGCAGCAGCCAUUGCCGGAGCAGCUGCCAUUGUCUCUCCUAGCUGCUGGUUUUACCCCAUCGCCUCACAUCCUUCCUCUUCUUCCUGAUCCCAAAAAUCAUAACAGACCCUUUACCUUUACAAAAAACAUUAGAACCCUAAGAGAAGAGGACGACUCCUUCACACCCGGUUAGUUCAACGGACUAAAACGAAAGAGACAGAGCAACUAGCCAAAUGUCUCUCCUUGCUUUACACUAUUUUUGUGGCUAUUGCUUGUCUUACAUUGAUUCAUCCAAUUUAAUACAUAUAUUUCUAUAUAUGACUCCUUUUAUUAGUCUCUCUUCCAUUUCUAUCUCAGUCCUUAAAAUUUUGUUUAUAAAAAUGGAGAUCGUAUGAGGUUCGGCGUUGGAUUGUGAGUUCGAUUCCAUCCGCUGCUUAAGGUCCACAGUUUCUGCUAGGUUUUCGCUGCUGUUUUCACUCAAAUUUGGAGUCGAAACUUGGUACUUGGUGAUUUCGUCUACCAAUAUUAAAUAAAUUGUUGUUUAAACAGGUUCUUCUCCUCACUAUUUCAUCUACUUCAAUUUUCUCGUUGUGAAUUUAAGUAUACAAGAGCUAUGUUAGGAUGAGUUUGAAUUACAUGUAUUGGUGCUGAUUCCUUGUUCUAGAAUGUCUAUGUGUUAGUAUCAAUUGUGAAGUUAAUUUAGGCUAAAAAUCGUUGGGCCAAUAAUUUGAUUUCUAAACUAUUUAGGCAGGAAGCUUUCUCGUUUAAACUUAAAAGUUUUAGUUGAUAUUCCUAUAUAAUGUAGCAACACUUAUUUUGUUCCUCAGUCAGAUUUUUGAAAUUGGUUUGUGGGAUUGGGGGUAUAACAAGACUAUUAGGUAAUUAAUUUAUCUACGUGUUUAGGAAUUGGGCAUGGCUAAAUACAUGAAAUGAAGAGUUAAAGGAAGAUGAGCAUUAAAUAAGUUUUAUUUGCUUUAGUUAAUUUUGUUUCUAUUUUCUUAAGAGCUAGGAGCAUGUUUAGGUCGUCAACACUUGAGUAGGCAAGCCUUAGGAUUUUUGUUAGUUUUGAG